rnacentral:rRNA from 1 species
GUGGGGAAUAUUGGACAAUGGGCGAAAGCCUGAUCCAGCCAUGCCGCGUGUGUGAAGAAGGUCUUCGGAUUGUAAAGCACUUUAAGUUGGGAGGAAGGGCAGUAAGUUAAUACCUUGCUGUUUUGACGUUACCGACAGAAUAAGCACCGGCUAACUUCGUGCCAGCAGCCGCGGUAAUACGAAGGGUGCAAGCGUUAAUCGGAAUUACUGGGCGUAAAGCGCGCGUAGGUGGUUCAGCAAGUUGGAGGUGAAAUCCCCGGGCUCAACCUGGGAACUGCCUCCAAAACUACUGGGCUAGAGUACGGUAGAGGGUAGUGGAAUUUCCUGUGUAGCGGUGAAAUGCGUAGAUAUAGGAAGGAACACCAGUGGCGAAGGCGACUACCUGGACUGAUACUGACACUGAGGUGCGAAAGCGUGGGGAGCAAACAGGAUUAGAUACCCUUGUAGUCC